rnacentral:rRNA from 1 species
GAUGAACGCUGGCGGCGUGCCUCAAACAUGCAAGUCGAGCGGGGCUAUGUAAUAUCGCAAGGUAGAACAUAGCCUAGCGGCGAACGGGUGAGUAACACGUGGGUAACCUGCCUGGAAGACAGGGAUAACGAUUCGAAAGGGUCGCUAAUACCUGAUAAUAUCCUUUCAUCGCAUGGUGAUAGGAAGAAAGGGGAAACCCGCUUUCAGAUGGGCCCGCGUCCCAUCAGCUAGUUGGUAAGGUAAAGGCUUACCAAGGCGACGACGGGUAGCCGGUCUGAGAGGAUGUACGGCCACACUGGGACUGAGAUACGGCCCAGACUCCUACGGGAGGCAGCAGUUGGGAAUCUUAGGCAAUGGACGAAAGCCUGAUGCAGCGACGCCGCGUGAAGGAUGAAGGUCUUCGGAUUGUAAACUUCUAUCAGCAGGGAAGAAAGGGCUUAUAGCCUAUGACGGUACCUGACUAAGAAGCCCCGGCUAACUACGUG